rnacentral:rRNA from 1 species
GAUGAACGCUGGCGGCGUGCCUAAUACAUGCAAGUCGAGCGAACAGACGAGGAGCUUGCUCCUCUGACGUUAGCGGCGGACGGGUGAGUAACACGUGGAUAACCUACCUAUAAGACUGGGAUAACUUCGGGAAACCGGAGCUAAUACCGGAUAAUAUAUUGAACCGCAUGGUUCAAUAGUGAAAGACGGUUUUGCUGUCACUUAUAGAUGGAUCCGCUCCGCAUUAGCUAGUUGGUAAGGUAACGGCUUACCAAGGCGACGAUGCGUAGCCGACCUGAGAGGCUGAUCGGCCACACUAGACCUGAGACACGGUCCCAACUCCUACGGGAGGCAGCAGUAGGGAAUAUUCCGCAAUGGGCGAAAGCCUGACGGAGCAAAGCCGCGUGAGUGAUGAAGGUCUUCGGAUCGUAAAACUCUGUUAUUAGGGAAGAACAAAUGUGUAAGUAACUAUGCACGUCUUGACGGUACCUACUCAGAAAGCAACGGCUAACUACGUG